rnacentral:rRNA from 1 species
GAUGAACGCUGGCGGCGUGCCUAAUACAUGCAAGUCGAGCGAACAGAUGAGAAGCUUGCUUCUCUGAUGUUAGCGGCGGACGGGUGAGUAACACGUGGGUAACCUACCUAUAAGACUGGGAUAACUCCGGGAAACCGGGGCUAAUACCGGAUAAUAUUUUGAACCGCAUGGUUCAAUAGUGAAAGACGGUUUCGGCUGUCACUUAUAGAUGGACCCGCGCCGUAUUAGCUAGUUGGUAAGGUAACGGCUUACCAAGGCGACGAUACGUAGCCGACCUGAGAGGGUGAUCGGCCACACUGGAACUGAGACACGGCCCAGACUCCUACGGGAGGCAGCAGUAGGGAAUCUUCCGCAAUGGGCGAAAGCCUGACGGAGCAACGCCGCGUGAGUGAUGAAGGUCUUCGGAUCGUAAAACUCUGUUGUUAGGGAAGAACAAAUUUGUUAGUAACUGAACAAGUCUUGACGGUACCUAACCAGAAAGCCACGGCUAACUACGUGCCAGCAGCCGCGGUAAUACGUAGGUGGCAAGCGUUAUCCGGAAUUAUUGGGCGUAAAGCGCGCGUAGGCGGUUUCUUAAGUCUGAUGUGAAAGCCCACGGCUCAACCGUGGAGGGUCAUUGGAAACUGGGAAACUUGAGUGCAGAAGAGGAGAGUGGAAUUCCAUGUGUAGCGGUGAAAUGCGCAGAGAUAUGGAGGAACACCAGUGGCGAAGGCGGCUCUCUGGUCUGUAACUGACGCUGAUGUGCGAAAGCGUGGGGAUCAAACAGGAUUAGAUACCCUGGUAGUCCACGCCGUAAACGAUGAGUGCUAAGUGUUAGGGGGUUUCCGCCCCUUAGUGCUGCAGCUAACGCAUUAAGCACUCCGCCUGGGGAGUACGACCGCAAGGUUGAAACUCAAAGGAAUUGACGGGGACCCGCACAAGCGGUGGAGCAUGUGGUUUAAUUCGAAGCAACGCGAAGAACCUUACCAAAUCUUGACAUCCUUUGACCGCUCUAGAGAUAGAGUCUUCCCCUUCGGGGGACAAAGUGACAGGUGGUGCAUGGUUGUCGUCAGCUCGUGUCGUGAGAUGCUGGGUUAAGUCCCGCAACGAGCGCAACCCUUAAGCUUAGUUGCCAUCAUUAAGUUGGGCACUCUAGGUUGACUGCCGGUGACAAACCGGAGGAAGGUGGGGAUGACGUCAAAUCAUCAUGCCCCUUAUGAUUUGGGCUACACACGUGCUACAAUGGAUAAUACAAAGGGCAGCGAAUCCGCGAGGCCAAGCAAAUCCCAUAAAAUUAUUCUCAGUUCGGAUUGUAGUCUGCAACUCGACUACAUGAAGCUGGAAUCGCUAGUAAUCGUAGAUCAGCAUGCUACGGUGAAUACGUUCCCGGGUCU